rnacentral:lncRNA from 1 species
AAAUAAAGGUGGUAGAGGGGGGAGGGGGUCCCAUCCACGAAUCAAAAGCACUUUGAUACAAGUUCAAAAAGUUUUAGAGAUACGGCUUAUUCUGGUCCCCAUUAUUAAUGAUUGAUUUUUGAAUCUUUGAUAUAAUUCAUUCGGUUUCUUUUCUUUUUGACUCUUUUUCCAAACCAUACCAUUCAUUACUUUUGCAUUUAAGUUCAUAAGAAUCUUACCAAAAUUUUGCAGAAUACCUCCGACUUAUUUUAUAUUGCACUACAAU